rnacentral:rRNA from 1 species
GGUGACAGGUGGUGCAUGGUUGUCGUCAGCUCGUGUCGUGAGAUGUUGGGUUAAGUCCCGCAACGAGCGUAACCCUUGUCUUUAGUUGCCAUCAUUAAGUUGGGCACUCUAGAGAGACUGCCAGGGAUAACCUGGAGGAAGGUGGGGAUGACGUCAAAUCAUCAUGCCCCUUAUGCUUAGGGCUACACACGUGCUACAAUGGGUAGUACAGAGGGUUGCCAAGCCGUAAGGUGGAGCUAAUCCCUUAAAGCUACUCUCAGUUCGGAUUGUAGGCUGAAACUCGCCUA